rnacentral:lncRNA from 1 species
GCCCCCGCCGGCUCCGCUCUCCCCCUUCCCCCGGUGUCGGUGCCGCCGCCUCCCGCCCCGCGGGGAAGCCGGCGUGGGGAGGGAGGGGGGGAACCCGCGGAUCCCUUCGGCCGCUCCCUCCUUCUCUAUGACCUAGGCCGCCGUCGCCGGGCAACGCGCCCUCCCUGCGGUGCGGCGGGCGGCAUGUGGCGGCNNNNNNNNNNGGGGGGGAACCCCUGCCCGCGGAGGGGACCCGCUGCCCUCAGGGCGCUGCGGGGACGGUGCGGGGGGGAGCUCUCUGAGGGCUCGCCUCACGGUUGUUGGUGUUUUCUGCUCCUUUUAGAGCGCCCGGUUGUCGGGAUGGACAAGGAGGAGGAAGGCAGAGGCAUCUGCCCGGCCUGGUGUCCCGCUACUCGGUGCUGGAUGCAGUCACCUGGCGGUGACUGAAGCCUCCACCAGCUGUCCCAGUGCGCAGCUGGGGUCCCACUUCCUGCAGAGAGAAAACCCAGAGGUCGUAUCAGAGAACCCAUCCUCAGGGAUCCCCUUGGGGCAAGGAGAGAGCCAGCCCUGGGCAGAAGUGGGUACGUGCAGUGUGCUGCGGGGCAGGAUACUUGUGGCAGGAGGACUCCUCAGUCUGAGUUUCCCCAUGGCAAAGCUCAGGGCCAAGAAGCCUAUUUAUUGACACU